UGAAUUUUUACACGACAUUAAAAGCAGACACACGACGCUGCUGACAGAGUUUUUGAUUUCGUACUUUUAUUAAAAUCUUUUGUUUUGUGGAAAUAACACUUAUCUGCCUACACUUGUUCUCUUGCUUGUCGCCGAAUUUACCUUGUGACGACUCCCGGUUUGUUUUCCGCCACUUUUAACUCCCAUGUUCCAGUCAGGAACAACACAGAUGUUUGCUGCCAUGGCCAUAGCAUCAACAGUGCCUCUGUUGGGGUUCUUGGAUCAUAAGCAUGAUGUGCAGAAGCCACCACAACACUAUGGACUAUGUGAUGGAAUUUUAAUAUCUAGAUGUUUCAAAGUUCUAGGACGAGUUUUACCGUCAGACUGGAAGAAUCUGCCAGAAAGAGGAUCGCACUCCGAUGAAGGAAGAAUACCAGAAAUACAAACAGCUCAAGGCUAAACUGCGUUUGCUGGAAGUCCCCUCAGCAAACAGGAAGUCACCAAAACCGUGUGAGAGGAAGUGGAAACUCCCAGAGACUGCCUCCACCCUGAAACUCUGCAUGAGAAAAGAGCUUUCUGUGUUGAGAGGAGAGGAAGAGUUACAGAAAGAAACGUGUUGAGCUCCGGCGAAGCGCCCGGCCGGCCGGCGAGGAGCCAAGAAGACGGAGCAGCAGA